rnacentral:tRNA from 2 species
GGCGCGGUACCAGAGUGGUCUAAUGGCGAGGUCUGCAAAACCUUCGAUUCGCGGGUUCAAAUCCCGCCCGCGCCUCAA